UUUUAUUUUUGCUUGCUUUGGCAGAGGAUCUCCCCUCCCCUCUCUGUUCGUCUCUCUCUUUCUCUAUUCCUCCAUAGUUGCUCAAACUUUGAGCUUAGAGUGGGAGUCUCUAGAGUAAGAUUUUACAAAAGUUUUGUAAAUGGAAGUCGGAGAACUCGUCGUACUCUUCGCCAUGAUAGUCUCAGAUUUGUGAUCCGGUGGCGUUUGCCUUUCGGAUUUGCUCCUCUUCAUUAUUUGAGGGUCUGUCUCCUUCCGUUCAACACCUGGUAAAGCGUUGCGCGUUGAUAGAGGUUCCGCUCCCCUCAGGUUGUGCCCAAUAAAGUGAGUUGAGGUUUUUCUCCUUUCCAACUUGAGGUCCGAUAAAAUGUGGUGCUUUGGGAUAGGUUCUACUCCUUUCCUGCUCGCGCUCAGAAAAAAGUGUUGUGGUGGCUGUGACUUAACGAAGCUAGAUCUCAUUAUAUUAUGUGAUAGUAGGUGAUGGUGUUAUGGUAGAUGAUUAAAGUGAGUAUUUGAAAUUAUUUAAAUUAACAAGUGUUUGUUAAUUAAAUAACUUGGACAUAUUUUCCUAUUGGCAGUCGCUAAGCUUGAUAACUGUGGAUCUAUUUAAAUUAAUGAGAGAUGAGUAUACUUGUUGAUAGCCUGUUAAUUGUGGAUUUAUUUAAAUUAACCAACAUGAGUUAAUUAAAUAAAAAGAUUGGAAUAGAGGCCUUGCUAAUAGUCAUUGUAAUUGGUGGGGUCAUUUAAGUUAACUAGUAUGGGUCGUUAAAAUGAAAUGUAUUUGAU